rnacentral:rRNA from 1 species
UACGUAGGGUCCAAGCGUUGUUCGGAUUUACUGGGCGUAAAGGGCGCGUAGGCGGCUAUUCAAGUCAUCUGUGAAAUCCCCGGGCUUAACCCGGAACGGUCAGAUGAUACUGCUUUGCUAGAGUGCGGAAGGGGCAAUCGGAAUUCUUGGUGUAGCGGUGAAAUGCGUAGAUAUCAAGAGGAACACCUGAGGUGAAGACGGGUUGCUGGGCCGACACUGACGCUGAUAGCGCGAAAGCCAGGGGAGCAAACGGG